AUGGCAAGAGCUCUCUACUUCGAGCAACUUCAGAAAACUCAUCAAACACCAAAUGAGUGUGUAUGGUGCAGGCCAACACCAGUGGUCCUCGGAGCAAGCUUCACUGUCCUACAGCAACUCAGAGCCAAGCAAUACGAGUUGUACCCCAACAGUUACCUGAGGAGAAACGCCUUCUGCCUUUCUUCCAACCCAGCCUCCAGCACUGAUGCUCACCCAGGGGCUCCAGCAAGGCUCUUUAUCCGCUCUGGAUUUUGCAACAGGAAAUCGGGCAGAGAGCAGCAGCGGGGCACCCUGUUAGCAGCGCGUGAGCUCUGUUAUCCUAACCCAAAACACCGAAAAAACAAGCAAACAAACCAGAAGCGAGCAGCAGGGGACACCUCACGCUUCUCCGCGCUUAACUUUUACCUAAGUCACGGCAGAGCAGGCGUCGGACGAGCCGAAAUGCCCAAUCACAGGCCCCAUUCAAAACUCCUACAGCUCAGUCAGAGGUUACGGAACCGGCUCGUGGAUUCAUUCACGGAGAGAGCACAACUACUAGGGGUUUGUUAUUACUGCUCGCUAUCCACAUGGAAGUUUCUUACGCUUGCAAUGGGCUCACCUUUGUUGUGGCUGAAGUCAAAUGGUACCUAACAUGAAUAUAGUUGAGCAUACCCAAAGCCCUUGAGGGUCUGCACACUUGAAGAAAGCAACAACCAAAUGCUCAUCACAAGGUGAACCAUGGCAGAACCACCAUGCAAAUAACUGUGCAUUUCUUCCCCAAAUGAAUGGGGCAGAGUUAACAGAAAUACAGAAAGUUUUCACCGAAACUGUGAUGCAAUCUAGCAGUUAUAAACAACAGUGCUUGCUCAAUAACUUAUGUUUUGUAUAUUUGUGAAGUUGGCCCUACAUUUAGAGGUAUAAGAACCUAUUCACGAUGUGGAAGAAUAUCUCUAAAAGUUGCCAGGUGGUGCAUUUAGUAGGCAUUUUGAAGCAAAAUCUUUCCUCUAACUGUGUACUUCUGCAUGCUGUGUGAUGUCCCAGUCCUGCAUGCUACAACAAACAGUGUGAGAUUCUGUGCCCUCUCCUCAGCUGAUUCUGGCUGCAGGAUGAAGGUACACCCUGGUGUGCAGCAAUUAAAGGCAAACACAAAAGCUUAAAUGCCCCUUGUCAAAUUCCACUGGAUCCCUGAAGCCUUAACCCCUCCACCUCCCCAACCC
rnacentral:lncRNA from 1 species